AAAUUAACUUUAUUAAUAAAAAUAAUUUAAUUUAUUAUUUAAGUAAAAAUUCUUAAAUAUUUAAGUGGGACGAGAAGACCCUAUAGAGUUUAAUUUAUUUUUUUAUUAUUAAAUUAAAGGAUUUAUAUUAUUAUAAUAAUUAAAUAAAAUUGGUUGGGGUGACAUUAAAAAUUUAUUAACUUUUAAUUAAUAAUUCAUUAAUAUAUGUUUUAUUGAUCCAAUUUUUUGAUUAAAAUACAUAAUUACCUUAGGGAUAACAGCGUUAUUAAUUUGGAGAGUUCAAAUCGAUAAA
rnacentral:rRNA from 1 species